rnacentral:lncRNA from 1 species
AUUGGCAACAUUGGCAACAGGCUGCCAGUUCGCGGUAGGGAAGCAUCAUGGGAGAAAGUGUAAUGUUGUGUGCUGUUUGCUGAAGCCCAUCCCCACUAGCCAGAUACUUCAUGAGAGUGAAGGUUUGUGUUGAGUCUGGGAGUCUGCGGUCAGGCACCAGAAGGUCCAGUCCUCUGCUAGGAGUUUUCUCUCUGUUCUUUUACUUCACAGCUCUAAGGACAAAGCAGAGACUCUCCUUGCUGUGACAAAGGGGACAUGGGGGAACAACCUGUUCCGUGAGAUCUCAUUAUUGCAGCAAUGACCCACCCAUGAGCUUGCCCUUCUUUGCAGCAAUGACCCACCCAUGAGCUUGUUGUCUGAACACCUGCUGUAGCCCUCACCUCCCAGCACUGAGCCCUUGGAUUCACACCACAGCACUAUGUGUAAGAAAGAGGAUUUGGCUAAAUCCAGAAAACUCCAAUAUACAUACCUGGAGACCAGAUAAAGCCAGCCACAGCCCAGCCUUCAUCUCUGGAGGUUUGUUUUCCCUUUGAGAUUCUGCCACAGCCCAUGUAUGACGUCAGAGCACAGCCAGCAGGCUUUCGUCUCUCUCCUUCCACCUUUAUGUGGGUUCCAGAGAUCAAACUCAGAUCCUCCG